CACGUUGGAACGGAUGAUUGACAGACCUGCAGACGACAUAACGUUGAAAUGUUGUUCGUGGCUGAAUAUUUGCUCUCGUUUUCUUCAAACCUUCUGUAAACAUUGUCUACGGCUAUAUCUAGACCUACGUUUGUGAAUUAGAACGCAAUGGUGCUACAAAUGUUACUUAAUGCCAGAAUUCAUGUCAUUUCAGUAGCGCGGUGUUAGACUCGGUAUAGCACACACCAUGGCAGCGGCUGCCGUAGUGAGGGACCGGCUGUACGGGACUGUCUACGGGCAGUGUAUCGGGGACGCCGUCGGGCUGCUGACCGAGUUUAUGACCAGGACUCAGGCGGCACAGGUCUACCCCCACCCCCUGGAAUACCACAUGAAGGUACCGGAUGGACACAGGGACAACUGGACAGUCGGAGACUGGACAGACGACAGCGAUCAGAUGAUCCUCAUCAUG